GCGCCACCCUGGAAAACGGUGUGGCAGGUUCUCACAAAGGGAGACGGUCCUGUCCCAGGCAGUCGCGCACCUCGGCACUGACGCAAGAGAAAUGAACCCGCGAACCCGCACGCGGAUGUUCAGAGGGCUCUAUUCACAACAACUAAAAAGCGGAGACAAGCAAAUGUCUUCAGUGGGUAAGUGGACGGGUGGGGUCCCUCCGUGCCGGGAGCGAAUGAGAAGCCCAAACCAUCCGCUCGGGUAAAGAGCUUAGACAAAUCCCAGAUGCGUUGGCUGAGCGAGAGAAGCCUCUCCGGAAGGCCACGGACCUGACAGAGUAGGCACGUCCCCGGGGACAGAAGCUGCUCUGGUGGCAGGAACAGGGGUGGCGGGGCGGCGGAGGGCAGAGGGGCACGCGGACACUUUUGGAGCCCGGACCCUGGUGGCCAUGUGCCUGCAUCUGUCAAAACCCGCAGAUCUGUCCCCAGAAAGUGAGCCCUACCGUACGUAAAUCAUACCUUGUUUAAAACACACACGCACAGGCUCCAAGAUCUUCCUCAAAAACACACCCCUUGGGUUGGGGGACAGGAAGGCCAAAGGAGUGCCAAGUCCCCAAGUCCCCACGCCCCAAGUCCAGAGCUCCAAGUCCCCACGUCCCCAAGUCCCCAGGCCCCAAGUCCCCAGGCCCCAACUCCAGAGCUCCAAGUCCCCAGGCCCCCAAGUCCCCACACCCCAAGUCCCCAUGCCCCAAGUCCCCAAGUCCCCAGGCCCCAAAUCCCCAUACCCCAAGUCCCCAGGCCCCAAGUCCCCAAGCCCCCAAGUCCCCAGGCCCCAAGUCCCCAGGCACCAAGUCCAGAGCUCCAAGGAAAGGGUGGGGGCAGGACAGACGUGACCUCCAGCCACAGGACUGCUAUGCCAGGGUGGUGCGUCAGUCCUUCCUCCAGCCAGCGAGGACCGAGGGACAGACCCCCCUGAGGAGCCUCGGCGGUGUGAGGCAGCGCCCCAACCCACAGAAGACACACCUGCCACCGGCGUGCCCCUGACCGGGGUCUUGAGUGCCAUUCGGCCACCCGCUGGCCCCCCUGCUCCUCGCCCCCCGGGACGUGCUCUCCACACCGUGGCCGGAGCGAACCCUGAGGGGCACAGAUCUGGCGCAUCCCUGCUUACGACCCUCCCGAGUCGUCCGUCCCCGAGUCGUCCGCCGGGGCACCUGGGAUGAAACCCAGCCUCCGGCGGCAUCGGCCCCCUGGCCCUGCGGCCCUUCCGGCACCCGGGGGAGCCUGCUGCUCCCGGGGCGGCUUCCGGCCUCUGCCUCCUCCAAGCAGCCCUCGUCGCACCCCACCGUGCACCCCACCCCUGGUCUGUUUCCUCCGGGCUUUGAGCUUAACAUUUUCCUCCGUGUUUAUUUACUCUCCUCCUGCUGCACAUGCUAUAAACUCGGUGACAGCGGGAGCUCUUGGUGGCCCGUUGGCUUCUGAGGCCCCACAGGGGGUUCUCUGUUCACAGUUGCGGAUGAACGAGGGAGGAAAGUCACGUCGGCCAGCGGGGGGCGCUACACCGUGGCCUCCGGAGACACCGCAGCACUCGCGGCCGGGGCACGGGCUGUGUGGGUGGCCUCAGCCUGCCUUGUCCGUGGCCGCAGCAGGCCCUCGAGGCCGCAGCCUCGUCCCCCAAGCCCCCCAGAGUCCACGCAGGGGGCAGCUGCCGGGCCUCCCCCGUCCUGCCCGCCCAGCGCCCUGGAGGGCAGUGCUCCACAGCCACACACAGCAGGCUCUGUGCGUGGGGAGAUGGGGGGCAUGCUGCCGGCUGGCCCCACAGUUAGGAGAGGGGGCGCUCGGGCGGGGCGUCCUGCCCGCCGGGAGCGUGGUAGUCCUGGGACUGGAAACCCGCUUCAAACCGCAGGCGGGCUCGGCGGCAGUGAAUGACAAACACAGAGCGGGGGAUGGUGCCCAGAACAGGGAGGACCGAGGACCAACCGGCCGCGUCGCUGAUGAGCCUCGAGCGCGUCGUGCGGAGACACAGAGACCCGAGCCACCCCGUUCUGCGGACCCACAGAAAGGCCAUCGGUGGCUGCCGGGGCUGGGGGUCCCGAGUGACUGGUCAACGGGUCUGGGUCUCCCCCAGCUGGGGCUGCCCGGCCCCCGCGCACGCUUAUGGCUGAGCUGUGGGGUCGCGAAGUAAACCCCACACUGUCAGAAGCGACACAUGCUGCCGGAGGCCAUCCUGGCCUUCACGGACGACACAGGUUAUGACACAGACAGAGCCACAGACUUAAUUCCGGGAAAAAGAAAAUGCACACGUGAAGCCCGCCUCUUGCCCCAC
rnacentral:lncRNA from 1 species